rnacentral:lncRNA from 10 species
GGGCGAAGGUCACAGGCCUUGGGCCAGUGGUGGGACACUGGAGCAGGAAGUCGGCCUGUGGCCGGCCAUGUUCAUGAGGGCGCGUCCCUUGGCACCCCUGUAGCCGCUAUGUUUCCCACGCCCGUGGCAGGCCUGAGAGAUUAUGUUUGCGGGGGGUGCUUUUUUUGUAGCUUCUGUGUUCGCCAUAUUUGAAAGGGGCAGACGGCCAUGUUCGUGAACGGCGCUUCCCUUGGUGCACCUGUGGCCGCCAUGUUUGAGCGAGGACCCCGUGGCAGGCCAGGACCGUUUCUCCGGUGCUAUCCCAGAGCAUGGCGCAUCCACUCAUUCACUCAAGCGUCUCUGAAUUGGGAUGCAUCUGACAGCAAGUGUGGCAUCCGGGCUGCAGUUGCCGUUGUCUGCUCACAUGUGAAUUAAAAAAACAAUCUCAGCAUAUGAAAUCUCUAAUCGCGUAUGAACUUGGUGGUUAUUCCUGGUGCCGUGUGGAUAACUGCAGCCUCAACACCCCAGUCCACAAACCACGUACGGACCAACUGAGGAAGGAGUAGGGGUUCUUGUUGUUGCAGAAAACCCUCCCUCAACUUGCUCUAGAAGAUACCAGCAUUCAUACUUGGAGUGGGCAUCAGCAGCUUGGAAGACACAGCAGUGGGCCCCUCUUAGCAGGAGUGCCCCAUCUCAUGGCUCCCGACGACGACCCAGAGGGUGAUGCUGCGUAGGGGCUCACGGACAUUGGCACUCUAAGUCAGAGAUGCUCAGGUGAAGGGGGCUCUGAUGGUGAGGACAUUCAGAAAUAACAGAGAUUGGCUGGGUACGGUGGCUCACACCUGUAAUCCCAGCACUUUGGGAGGGAAGCCGAGGCAGGUGGAUCACUGGAGGUCAGCCUGGCCAACAUGGUGAAACCCCGUCUCUACUAAAAAUACAAAAAUUAGCUGGGCGUGGCGGCAUGUGUCUGUAAUCCCAGUUACUCGGGAGGCUGAGGCAGGAGAAUUGCUUGAACCUGGGAGGCAGAGGUUGCAGUGAGCCAAGAGUGCGCCACUGCACUCCAGCCUGGGCAACAGAGCGAGACUCUUUGUCUCAAAAAAGAAAAAAAAAAGAAACAACAGAGACUUAUUUUACUUAUGUUUUCCUCUUUUCUGUGUGUAUAAUGAGAGAAAUUAGGAUGCCAAAAAAAAAAGAAAAGAAAAGAAAAGAAAAACCAAGGCCUUCUAAGUCUAUAAAAAUUUUUUAAGUAAUUUUUUUUUUUUUUAAGAGACAGGGUCUUGCUCUGUAGCCCAGGCUGGGGUGCAGCAGUGCAAUCCCAGCUCACUGCAGCCUUGAGCUCCUGGGCUCAAAUGAUCCUCCCACGUUGGCCUCCCAAAGCAUAACACAUUUUAAAAUAAAAUUAUAGAUAAUAAGAAAGCAUUGUGUUAAAGUUUAAUUGGCAGCAUUUUAAAUUCUUUCUUACUGAGUUCCAGUUUUAAGCUCAGCUCUGCAGGUAAACAGCGGCACAAACCUGAUUGCAUUGCCUGGUCCCUCUGAGCCUCGGUUCCCUUAUCUGACAGCAGGGCUGUAUCUAUUCUAGCUCUCUGGGUUGCAGGUGAUGAGGAGAAGCAACCCUAAUCGGCUGAAGCCAAAGAAAGGACUUCAGAUCUCGUAACUGCAAAUCCUGGGGUCUAGCCUCAUAACUGCAAAUCCUGGGGUCUAGCCUCCCUCUCUGGUUCUUGUCACCUCCUCGUGGGCUUCAGUCCCAAGUUCCAGAUCGGGGCAAGACAUGGCCGAAGCCCAGGGCCCGCAUCCUCCCAGAUUCCAGCCACCUGGGAGUGUGUCUGUGGUCCCUGGUCUCUGACGAGGUCCUGUGCCCUGCCAUUGGUUCCAGGGGACUGCCGGAGCUGAUGGGUCAGGCCUGCACUGGAGCUGGGUGGAGUUGGCUCCAUCCUGAGGUUACCCCUAUGCCAGAGGGGCAUGGGUGGUUCCCAGGGUAGGGAAAGUGUGUGCUGGGUACCCAGACAUCGAAGCCUACUGUGCCUCCUUCUGUGACAAGGCAUGUGUCAUGUGUUGCUCCAGGAUGGGCAUGUACUCAUAGAUGGGGCUCAACAGGUUGAAUUCUCCUUUCCCUCCUUUCCUCUGGCUUAUGGUCAUCCACUCUUUGGAGCUAGCCAGGCCAAGUUGGAGGAUGCAAAGGUGAAUGGGGACACUGGCAUUCCAAAGGGGACCCGAUAUAGUUUGGCUGUGUCCCCACCCGAAUCUUACCUUGAAUUCCCAUGUGUUGUGGGAGGGACCUGGUGGGAGGUGAUUGAAUCAUGGGGGCAGGUCUUUCCCAUGCUGUUCUCAUGAUAGUGAAUAAGUCUCAUGAGAUCUGAUGGUUUUAUAAGGGGGAGUUUCCCCACAUAAGCUCU